rfam:Capsicum annuum cultivar Zunla-1 chromosome 5, whole genome shotgun sequence
UGAUUAAGGUGAGGGCAAUUUCUUAGCAUACUCUUAAAUCUCUCCCAAGCUUGGUAGAGAUUCUCUUCUUCUUUUUUUAUGAAACUCAGAAUCUUACUUCUCAAACG